rnacentral:rRNA from 1 species
AUGACCUGGUCGGACCAGCCCUACCUGAAGGGAAGCACAGGGCGUGCGCCGCCGUACAGCCGGCAGCUUGACACCGUCCCCGUCCCCGUCUCCAUCCCCGUCGGCGGCCACCGCUUUGAGUGGAGCGGCGGCACAUUGGAUGUAUUAACUGCAGCAACAUUGUUGGCCGGAGGAAUUUGUCUGACGCCGCUCCGUUUUUGCCGAUUUUCCAGCGAGGAGGAGAAAUCAUGCAUGGAUCUCGAGUUGCAGCGAUACACCCCGACAUCGAUGGUGGCUGCGGUAUCCAAGGUGCUCGACGACGACGACCUCCUCGUUGAGAUCCUCCUCCGUGUCGCGUUCCCCACCACGCUCGUCCAUGCCGCACUCGUCUGCAGGCGCUGGUUCCACCACGCCUCCGACCGCCGGUUCCUCCGCCGCUUCCGCAAGAUCCACCCGCCCCGCCUCCUCGGCUUCUACGCUUUUUUCGAGCGUGCACGCUUCAUCCCGAUGCAGCCUCAACCCCCGGAGCUUGCCGUCGUCGUCCGCCACCUUGCGAGCUGCAGGUUUGCCUACUACAUCAACAUUGAGGACUGCCGCAACGGCAAUGUCUUAACAAGCGGCCGGCAAGAAGGAGUAUGGACGCAUCAAGUCUACCACCUGUUGUGCCCUGAGAGAGAUAUGCCCAUCAUCCCACCACUCCCUUGUGCCGAGAUCGGAAUUUACCACAUUCUCGCUGAAAUCCUCUCCAAAGAAGAAGGCGAUGGCCUUGGUCUGUCCUAUUUUUAUUUGUUGGUGGAGCUUGCCAAGGAGGCAAAUAAGGUCAUGGUGCGCGUAUAUAUGUUGCAAGAUGGUGCCUGGUGCAUGCUUACCUUGGCCACAAGCCAGCUCCAUUAUCCGCAGCCAAGGCCAAAGCCUGUGCUCGUCCACAACAAAAUCUAUAUGGCGGCCGCUCAAAGUGACGACAUUAUUGUCUUGGAUUUGAUUGACUCAAGUUUCUCUACGAUUCACCUCCCACAAGGAGUGGAGUAUGCCUCUUCAGAAAUCAUGUUGUCACGGACCAAUGAUGCUUCUGGUGUAUAUCUCAUUCAUGUCCGUCCCAAGGAGUUUCAACUUUGUGUAUGGCUCCACAAGGGGGGCAACUGGAUGCUGGUAGAUACCAUCUAUUUGCAUGAGAUGCAUGCUAUUUUGGGGAAGAAAGAUCACCCGUAUGUGCGUAUAGGGAAGGUGGGAGACGAUGCUCAGUUUGUAUUUUUAGAGGUUUCUCGAUACAUAUUCUACUUGGAUAUCAAGUGCAGGACACUGCGUAAAGUAUAUGAGGAGACAGAUGAUGAUCGAUGUUAUGGCGGCGUCCAUCCUUUUAUGAUGAUUUGGCCUCCCACAUUCCCUGCCCUCAAGGAUGAUCCUGAAAGGUUUGCCUUUUGA